rnacentral:misc_RNA from 1 species
UACGGAGGGUGCGAGCGUUAAUCGGAAUUACUGGGCGUAAAGCGUGCGUAGGCGGCUUGAUAAGUCGGUUGUGAAAGCCCCGGGCUUAACCUGGGAAUUGCAUCCGAUACUGUUAGGCUAGAGUGUGGCAGAGGAUAGUGGAAUUUCCGGUGUAGCGGUGAAAUGCGUAGAUAUCGGAAGGAACACCAGUGGCGAAGGCGACUGUCUGGGCCAACACUGACGCUGAGGUACGAAAGCGUGGGUAGCAAACAGG